UGAGGAGUUCCCGCGAGGAAACUCGGGUCAAACAAAACAAGGCGCCUUUUUUUUUUUCGUUCUAGGAAUUUUAUCAACCCGAACAACCAAACAACCCAAAAAAUAAUUAGAGACUCGUGAAACGAAAGAAAUCAAAACAGAAUUUCGAACUUGAAAAAAAAAAAGAAAAAAGAAAAGAAAGGGAAGAUGGAAGCGGCGAUGAGACUGAUGCAUCGGAUGCCUCCCAAGCACACCGAGACGCCUCUAUCCGCCCUUCUCUCCCUUCUCCCCCAGCACUCCUCUGAUCUCCUCUCUCAAGUCGAUCAGCCCCUCCUGGUUCUCCCCUGUUUGUUUCCCGAGAAAUUCCAAUUCAAUUUUCACUUUCCAUUUUCUUUCUCAAGGGUUUCAUUUUAAUCCCAAAAAAAAAAAAAAAAGGGUUCUCUUCAAAUUCAAAUUUUAAAGUCACCGUGCUGCUCUCUGGUUUCCCAAAAUUCAGGAUUUGUGCGAUAUGGAAUACGGGAAGCAAUUCAUUUUGUGUGAAUAUAACAGAGACGCAGACUCUUACAGAUCGCCUUGGUCAAACAAAUAUCAUCCGCCCCUAGAAGACAGCAGCCUCCCAUCUUUAGAGUUGAGGACUUGAAGUUGAAGCAAACAACAUCUUCGCCAUUUAUUGUGACCAGAGAGGUGGCAUUUCGUCAGUUUAUAUGUGCGAGGAUGAUAACGAAGGUUUUGUAGGCUGCUUUUUACUAAAGAAAGGUAUACUGCCUAAACUUUCAAUUUAUGUUCUUUUACAUGUAUACAUGCUGUUUUUUAUUAUUUGAGGGGAUUCAGAUGGCUCCAAGACAGGACAAGGUAGGAGAGGUUUUCUGCAGGUGGGGGCAUGGGAUGCUAUACAUGUGAUUGGGGUAAACUCUACUUGUCAUGGUAGGAACAACGUAGAUCUGUGGUGAAGGUGUUCAUAUAGUCCUGACACUCAACCCUCUUUCACACUUACAUGUGAUUGAGAUGAAUAUGCACCUCUCAAUUCAGGAAGGCCAUAUUUGUAACAUGGGAAGAAUGAUCGAAGAAAUGGAGAGCAAGCUGAGAAAUUCACUCGAUCAGGUACUGUGCUUCCUUGCAUGCGCACUUAUGUUUCUUCAUCCUGCUCUAUAGUUCCGACUACACAAUGUUUUGUCAAGUUAUGGAACUAAGAGCCAUCCAUGACCUCUGAAAGCAUUGGAUCACCACAUAUUAGAUGUCUCACCGGCACUUGAGCCAUUGCGCAGUUGUGACUAAACAGUAAGGUUUACAAUGGGCUUCAUAUAUUUAUCCUUGGAAUUCAAAUUGUCGUUGAUCUGAUGGUUUGCACUUUACGACCACCAUCUGAAGUAGCGAUGAGACUGCCUGACAAUUGAUGAAGCAUAUAUUCUAUGGCACUAACCAGGUGUUGGUUAUCAAACUUGCUUAACUAAGUGAUUAGGGUUCUGGUGUCCUUUGAAUGUCAUUAUCUAGAUUGUGAAAUGUUCUUUCGUUUUGAGUUGUAACACUUGGUGGCCUUGUGCCAUUGCACAGUGGAGAAGAUGACGAGUUUGUCAAUUGAAAAACGCCUUAUGGAUUUUGUAUUUUCAUAUUCAUUAUCAAGUGUUUUCUUCUGUUAGUAAAAUCAUAUUAGCCAUUAACCCUAAACCCUACAUGAUACGACGCCCAGCCAAAAUAACAAACCCUAGCUAAAUCAGUCAAGUAGGAAGCACAUGCCAUCACCGGCUCUUCAUUCUUCUCUGGAGAAAGCAGUAGCAUGUUGCUGUAUGGCUCACCCACAGCAUCAUGAAUGGACAUGGAAGCGGGAGUAGAAAUAGGAUCAUCAGCCGCCAAUUUAUCAUCAAUUUUUCUUGGAGUUUUCUUCUUGCCUUUUGAUUGCAUUACAGUAUCAUCACAGUCGCCGCCACCAUUAGUAGCCUUAAACUUUCUCUUCCUCUUCUCCGUGGUCCUAUCGCUCUUUCUGAGUUGGCAGAGCAAAACUAGCUCAUCAC